AGCAGUAGCCGCGGUAAUACGGGGGGGGCAAGUGUUAUUCGGAAUGACUGGGCGUAAAGGGCACGUAGGCGGUGAAAAGGGUGGAAAGUGAAAGUCGCCAAAACACUGGCGGGGUGCUUUCUUGACCAUUUCACUUGAGUGAGAUAGGGGAGAGUGGAAUUUCGUGUGGAGGGAUCAAAUCCUAAGAUAUACGAAGGAACGCCAACCGCGAAGGCAGCUCUCUGGGUCCCCACUGACGCUGGGGUGCGAAAGCAUGGGGAGCAAACAGGAUCAGAUACCCGGGUAGUCCCUGUCUCUUAUACA
rnacentral:rRNA from 1 species